rnacentral:tRNA from 1 species
GGGGAUAUAGCUCAAUGGUAGAGUGCUUGAUUCUCAUGAGACUUGGGUUUAAAUCCCAACCCUG